GACAGAGGUGCCGAGCGUUAGGCGGAAUCACUGGGCUUAAAGCGUGUGUAGGCGGACCGUUAAGUGCCUUGUGAAAUCCCACGGCUCAACCGUGGAACGGCUGGGCAGACUGGCGGUCUUGAGCCACCUAAGGGCGGACGGAACAAGCGGUGGAGCGGUGAAAUGCGUAGAUAUCGUCUGGAACGCCAAAGGUGAAAACAGACUGCUGGGAGUGUGCUGACGCUGAGACACGAAAGCCAGGGGAGCAAACGGG
rnacentral:rRNA from 1 species